CACACACACACACACUCAUGCCUAUUCAUUACUCUAUAGAAAGGCUAUUAGAGCAACUUCACUGACUGACCUAUAAAUGCUCUGUCAAACUGGAUACUAGAAAUUCAAAUGUCUGCUAAACAUCUCCAUUUACCACCGGGGCUUUUCUCUUUAUUUGGCCCUGAAGCCAUGUGACUGAAAACAGGAGACAAAGUCGAUGAAGAGCCCAGCAGUGUGGUGUCACCACCACCCAACACCAGAGCAUUUUUGUGCUUAAGGUGAACAUCCUUUUAACCUCCUUCUCUUCCUGACCCAUCUGAGCUGUUUCGAGAGACACUGUGAGCUAACAAGACUGUCUCAAAAGUUCCACCUUUCAGGCUUCUGGAUGAAAAAAUAUGUUAUUGUACUCUUGUGAAGUGUACUUUUUUUUGUGUUUCAUUUCUCUAAGACUCCCUCAGCCAGCAAGUUAAAGUGAUUGUACUGGAAAACAAAAAAGCAUGACAUUGACAGGAAUUUUAAAGCAGUUCAUCUAAUUUACUGCUGACAGUAAAUGAAGCGAAGCACAGGAGGAGAGAGAGUGCACUUACUGGUUCACAACACAAUUUUGUUUUAUUUGUUUGUUGCCAUUUUUUUACUGGGCUGGGUUCCCAGUAAUCCCACAUGUGUAUUUGGCAUGUUCUUUUUACUCAUGGCCUGACAAAAACAAAGAAAUCAGUGCUUUGACAUUUCUUGACACCCUCCCCUCUUGAAUAUAAAAGCACCUGGCUUGUUAAAUAAGCUAAUCCGUGGGUGCUCUUGAAUGAGUUCCACUGGUGUGUAUGUGUGUGUCCCUCUUAGCAUUUUGAAUCAGCAAGGCUUAGCGGCGCCCCAGACUCUGGCAGUCUGCAGCAGUACCGUUUUGGCCUUCAAAUUAAGGCACACUUGUGUGUGUGUCACUCACACAUAAAUAUGACUGACAUACAAUCACUUAUUUGCUCAAUCUUAAGGGCUUGUUUUAUUUAGCCCUUAAAGUGUAGUUUCUUGUCCAAAUGUUGGAACGUCUAUCAAAGCAGAGUAUGCUUCACAUAUGAGGAAAAAGCCCAGUGGAAUUGUUUGAAUGUGCCAUGGUGGUGACUGGGUAGACUACAUGCUCUAUGCAUUUCCUUACAUCAUUUGUUUUUGUGCGCUUUAUGUGUAGUUUACUAUGCUAUUUACAUAUUCCUGCAUAGAUCUUACUAUAAAAUGUGUUUUUGUUCUUUGCCUGAAACUGUUGGAUGACAGACAGACAGACAGACAUUAAGACAUGUAACAGAGAGAGGCAGCAGCUUGCCUUACUAAUAGCCUGUGGGUGCAGGGAGGCACUGUAAAGCCAGCCUUAACACAGCCCUGGGAUCUGAGAAAUGUACUUGAACACUUGAUCUGGGCCUUUUGGUGGCCACUCUGGUUUUCACCACGCCAUCCCAAACAGGCUUGUAAACACCCUGGUUUGUUAGAAAAUGAUUUUAAUCUGUUUGAGUUAUUUGUUUUAUUAUGUUUGCCUCAGAAAUGAACAGGUUGCUGGUAUACUAAUUACAUUUAAGCGCUCCUUAUACCCCCCUCCAACUAUUCAAAAUGUAUCUGAAUACUCUGAUUGGAUUUACAUGUAGAUUGGCAACCAUUUUUACGCCCAUUGUGUACACUACUUUUACCAGAUGUGUGGAAGAAAAUUCCACAAUCAGAUGUUGACAUUCCAUUAAAUUUUCUUUCAUACCAGGUAACUUUUCAACGGUUUAACCUGGUAGAUAUAGAGAUUACAUUUAUAUUUAGGGCUUUUGACACAUCCCUGCGAUUUUAAAAUUCCAUUUAUUUACAAUUUUAUUUUUAGAAUCACCUGCGUCAAUGCAUAGAUGGAGCUUUGAACUGCUGGACAGAUAAUGUGUUCAACUGAACACAACUCAUCUAUCAUUAUUUACAUCACAGAAUCGCCCUUUAAAAAAUAUUGAUGUCAGCUGCACUGAAAUGUGUCUGUAAAAUUAAAUCAUGGGACAUUUUCCCAAUACUUAUCAGUAUAAGAAGGGGAUUCCUGGAUAUUGAGAACAUAUUUUGCAUGCUCUGCUUUUUGUAGAGCCUUUGCUUUUUCCUCUGUGUAUCUGCACUUGAUAGUUUUUCUGCCGAAGCCCAGAACUGUUUGUUUCCAUCUGUUUUACACUCUGUUCUGUGUGUUAGGAUACGUUACGUGGACAUAUCAGAUUGUCAGAUGAGUGGGGUGGGUCUGGGGAUCAUUAAACGGGGUCAAGAUUACAAAGCACUUACUGUACUAUACUGGAGUCCGCCUCUUUCUUUUGUAAAAAGAGAAACCUCCUGAGCUGAAGCUCUUGAGGUUAUGAGUAAAAACCGCACAGCUGUGUAUCCCCCUUUCCCUCCAUGUCCAGGCCUCCUACAUCUUGUCCUGUUUGCCCAUCGUAUCUUCUUUGUUCUUUUGCAGAAUAUUUUAUGCUGUCUUUGUUUAUCUGUCGUUGAUACCUCUUGUCUCCCUUCACAUUUUGACGCUCCCGCUCCUUUGUCUCUCCUUUUGUCUGUCCUCUAUACCUUUUUUUUUCUUCGUUAGACCUGUCAGUGCAUAUGGUCAUCAAAAAGCUAUUUUGUUUUUGUUUUUUUAAGAGAAAUGUUUUGGGGAUAAAGAGGCUUGUGCCUUUGUAAAGACAGAAUAAUAAAGUUUGUACUUUGUUUUUUA